GAUGUUUUCCAUCAUAUUUUUACUUAUAACUUUCACACACAAAGACGUUUUUGUAAAUGCAAGCUGUAAGCUACAAAAUUGAUGAAGUAAAAUAUCGUAAUCAAGCUCGACCUGAGCUGUUUUAAAAAACAAAAAAUUUCUCCUCUUCUUUUGGACGUGCAUUCCGAUAUUUUUAAUUGAAAGUUUUGAUUUAUUUAUGAAUAAGGAUUCCAUAUUUACAUAAAGUUUUUGGAAGACAGAUUAAUAUAAAGAAUGAAACGUGCUAUCCAGAUAUUUACUAGUUAUUUCCUCUCUUUCUUAAAAUAUUUUGCCACAUAGCCUGGUAUUUUAUGUAUGAUGUCUGUUUGAGUUAAUAAUAAGAGUCCUUAUUUGCAUCAGAGUUACAUACUAUUGUAGUAUUCGAUACUGUUGUAAUAUGUUUCCACUGAGGAAAAAAAUGAACAACGGAAGAAGGGAACACCUGAAAAAUGAAAAAGACUAAAGCAAAAAGUUUCAUCAAAUGUGUUCCUUCCAGAAGAACAAAGACUUGGAAAAGAAAAAAUAUUGGAGUCAAAUUCUUUUGAGAAUGAUACCUAAAUGUUUAUGCCAUUGAAUGUUCCAAUCAAAGUUGAACCUUGUGAUGAGGAAAAUAAGCAGAUGUUUCCUAGUCAAACAGCUUCUAGUUCACAUAAAGAUUUCUACUAUGUUGACAAAAACUGUUUUGAAAUGAAGUCAGCAUUUAAUUCUACUAUACCAAAAGAUGAAUGUGAUGCAACUGAAUAUGUAGAAACUUGUUAUGGUGAUAAAAAUGAAGAUGAACUAAUUUUGCCUGACAUUGCACCAGAUUCAGAGUAUGAUGAUACCAGCAAUGAUGUUGGGCAAAGUGCAUCUUCCAGCAUUCCAGAGAUGCCACAGCAACAAUGUGUUCAUAAAAAGAGGAGGGGUGAAAGUAAAAGAAGGUUGAAUUCCAGGAAAAGAAAUUCAGGAGAAAAUUAUAGGCUGUACGGUGGGAAAGGUCCAGUGGUGAAAUCAGCAGAAAUAGGUCGAGAUUGUAAAUGUCCAAAAAAAUGCUUUGAAAAAAUAGAAGUAAAUGAAAGACAAAUUUUAUUUCAUACAUUUUGGAAGUUGCAAGAUUUCAAUGCCCAAAACAAAUUUAUCUUUGAUUUAAUAAAAAUUGAAAAUGUGAAACGUAGAUAUACGAAAGGUGAUAGUAGACGCUCUGUGUCUGUUGUUUACAAUAUGCAAUUAAGUGGUCACCAAAUUGCGGUGUGUAAGAAAGCAUUUGCAAGCAUUUUAGGUCUGCAGAAUCAUGUUGGACGUAUUAAUAACAUUGUUAAGAAAAUGAAAACGACUUCUGCUUUACCUCCUGAUGGACGAGGUCACCAUGCUUCCCACCCUCUUAAAUACUCGGACAGUGACAUAAAUCAAGUUCAUAAACAUAUACAUUUUUUUCUUAAAUAUAAAAGUCAUUAUAGCAUGAAUAAGAAUUUAAAUAAACAGUAUAUCUUAAUGGAACAUUCACUAUGUAGUUUGUAUGAAGAUUAUGUGGCCAAUUAUUGUGAAGAAAAUAAUAUACGGCCAGUCUCUGAAGAUAAGUAUAGAAGAAUUUUCUCCGAAGACUUCAAUAUAAAUUUCGAGCAACAUAAGUCAAAGGCAUAUCUUUCAUGUGAUCAGCUGCAUGUAAAAAGUACAGGAUUAAAAGAUAAUGAGGAAAAGAGUGACAAAUGUACCAGUUAAAAAGAAAUGCAUUUAAACAAAGUGGUCAGACUAAUAUUUCCUUGCAGACAGAAGAGACAAAAAAAUAUUCCUAAUUAAAAUUUUAUUACUUUUGACAAGCUUGCCCUAUUCUGAAACUUUUUUACAGUUUUGUUCUUGUAUGAUAGAUAUUAGCACCAUCUUGUCUUCAAGUAUGUGACACAAUAUCAAUAUACAACAUAUAAAAUAUUAAUCGAGGUUAUAAAAUAUCUUAAUGAUUGGGAAAUAUGAAGAUAAGUUUGAAGCAACUGAAAAGUAUUGUUUAUAAAUUGGGAUCAGUUUUGAAAAACUAAACAAGUGUUUGCUAGAAAACUCAUCAAUAAAGUAUUGGUAGAAGCUGAAAAGGGCUAUUUGAAUAGACUUGUAGGUGUGUUUCACUCCCUUGAUAAAAAGCAAAAACUAAAAGAGUUGGAUUCUCCUGUUGAGGCAGAAAGCAAUACUAGUACUAAUUUGUGGCUACUUGACCCUCACUAUAUUUGUCCACUGAAAAAUAAGGUUCUCACUAAAAUGGAGAAAAAAAAGUCUUCUAAAAUCUUUAGAGCAAAAUCCUUCAGUCAAACUUCAUGCAUCUAGGUUGAGAUCAUUAUCAACUUUGCAGUACUUUUUAGUAAAUAAGCUUAUUAAUGAAACCUUUUCUGAAGAUGUUUUGGGAAACUUAGAGCAUCCUCUGGAAUAUGUUUUCUCAUGAAAUAUUCUUCAAGAAAAUCUGAUGUUUUUUCUUGUAACACUUCUUUAAAAUCUGUGCAGCUUCCAAUAUCUAAUAAAUCCAAAUAUAGAUUAAGAUUUACAAACAAUAGUUCCAAGUGAAUCAGUGUCAUCAUUUUCCAAAACGCCUUUGCCGAUUAUUUUAGAAAAUUCUUUCCAACAACCUGAAACCAUUCCUACACUAACUCAAAUAUUUAAGCAAAAUUCUUCUUUGCAAACUUGUGAAGAAUCUUGCCCCAACACCAGCCCAAAUAUAUCAACAAAAUUCAAGCAUAUUUUUAAAUACAACUUAUUCAUCAUUGCAAGUCAAAAAAAAUAUUUGAUUCAACACCUACACGAUCAAUAGAACAAAAUACUCACGAAUUUUUAAUACAACAUAUGAUUAGUCAUUAGGAGUCAAAAAAAGAAUAUUUUAAUCUGACAUCUACCUGAAAAUUCAAAAAACAGGCUCACAUAUCUUUAAAUCCAAGGUUUUUAUUACCAACUAAAAAACAUCUAUUAUUUCAACAACUGCCCAAAGAUUGGUAUAAAAAUUUCUUUGUUUCUUAAAGAAUAUUUUCAGAUUCAAUUUACUCCAACUCAGUAAUCUAACUCCUAAAAUUUUGCAACAAUAAGAAAUUAAGCGUAUUCUCUAAUUAUAUUCAAAUAAUUUCCGCAACUGUUCAGUUUAUCUUAAUACAUGGUCAAAAUUCUAAGGCAAAAAGACAUUUCAAUGAAAAUACAUCAUUUAUUCGAACAUUCUCAAAAAGUGCAGCUCCUUCAAAACUAUUUCUGUCAUACCAAUAGUAUUUCAACAUCUUCACAUCAUUUACCACAUUUUCCAAUGUAAAAACCAAUUCAUCGGCAGGCGUUUGAAUUCACUUGUUUUGUGACUGGAAUGUUUUUAUGUAAAAAAGUAAAUAUGUAUACAAAGUUUUCGUCAAUAAAAAUGUUUCUGAAUAUGA
rnacentral:misc_RNA from 1 species